UAUUUGCCUGCCCAGUACUGAACUGGCCAAUCGGAGACCCUCGCUGACUAUCGUUAGGCUGGCAAAUCAUUGACUGUCGUCCUGCGUCCCGCAUUGAGAUGGCCAAUCUGGAACAACUCUACCGAGUUCUCUCUUGUAGUUGCCCUCCAGAUUUCCAGAUUCUCCCGAAAUUCCUGAAAAGGGGAUCGGACUGUGGCCAUGACUACCGGGGCGGAAGUCCAAUCCCGCAGAGACUCGAGAAAGUGGGGGCGGGGCUACAGUUCUGCGGCGCGCGCAGGCCGCUGGGAUCCUUGUGUAGACGUUGACCUUGGUCCUGACGACUGCUGGGUAUCUGACCUCAGUUCAAGAAUAAUAUAAUUAAAACGUUAGGCACUGUUCUGGGCACAUGACGUGCAUUAAGACAUUUCACAGCAACUUUGUGUUGCUGCAGGGACAGUUUUAUCACCUUGUUAUUUCCUGUGUUCCUGGAGGGGAAAAUGUUCCAGAUUUUACUGCAUUUUUGUGGAAAACCUCCAAAAUGGUUAAAAGAGGGGGAAAAGUCAAAUUACGAUUCACGAAACAGAGUCAGGUCAACUUUUUCAGCAGAGAAGUGCAUUUCAUGGUGGCUGAAGCCCUGGCAACUCCAAGAGGAACUCGAUGUCAGAAAUUGGCUUUAUUGGAGACAUUCAGAGCCUGAUUGGAACUAUUUUCAAGGCCUUCUUCUUUCCUAAGCUAAAAUGGAGCUAUGUACUCAGAGGGCUAUUUGGAAAUACACCGGCAAGAAAAAAAGUUUAAAAAGGCUUCUUGACAAAUAUUAGUAACUUGAUCCAUCUGCCAGAAACACACUUUGGAUCCAAAUUUUCUUUUUCCUUCAAUAAUGAGUUUAAA